rnacentral:rRNA from 1 species
GACGAACGCUGGCGGCGUGCUUAACACAUGCAAGUCGAACGGAAAGGCCCUGCUUUUUUGGGGUGCUCGAGUGGCGAACGGGUGAGUAACACGUGAGUAACCUGCCCUUGACUUUGGGAUAACUUCAGGAAACUUGGGCUAAUACCGGAUAGGAGCUCCUGCUGCAUGGUGGGGGUUGGAAAGUUUCGGCGGUUGGGGAUGGACUCGCGGCUUAUCAGCUUGUUGGUGGGGUAGUGGCUUACCAAGGCUUUGACGGGUAGCCGGCAUGAGAGGGUGACCGGCGACAUUGGGACUGAGAUACGGCCCAGACUCCUACGGGAGGCAGCAGUGGGGAAUAUUGCACAAUGGGCGGAAGCCUGAUGCAGCAACGCCGCGUGCGGGAUGACGGCCUUCGGGUUGUAAACCGCUUUCGCCUGUGACGAAGCGUGAGUGACGGUAAUGGGUAAAGAAGCACCGGCUAACUACGUG